CCUUACGGCUCAGUAACACGUGGAUAACCUGCCCUUGGGACCGGCAUAACCCCGGGAAACUGGGGAUAAUUCCGGAUAACGCAUAUGUGCUGGAAUGCUUUAUGCGUCAAAUGGAUUCGUCUGCCCAAGGAUGGGUCUGCGGCCUAUCAGGUAGUAGUGGGUGUAAUGUACCUACUAGCCAACAACGGGUACGGGUUGUGAGAGCAAGAGCCCGGAGAUGGAUUCUGAGACAUGAAUCCAGGCCCUACGGGGCGCAGCAGGCGCGAAAACUUUACAAUGCGGGAAACCGUGAUAAGGGGACACCGAGUGUCAGCAUCAUAUGCUGGCUGUCCAGGUGUGUAAAAUACACCUGUUAGCAAGGGCCGGGCAAGACCGGUGCCAGCCGCCGCGGUAACACCGGCGGCCCGAGUGGUGAUCGUGAUUAUUGGGUCUAAAGGGUCCGUAGCCGGUUUGGUCAGUCCUCCGGGAAAUCUGAUAGCUCAACUAUUAGGCUAUCGGGGGAUACUGCCAGACUUGGAACCGGGAGAGGUAAGAGGUACUACAGGGGUAGGAGUGAAAUCUUGUAAUCCCUGUGGGACCACCUGUGGCGAAGGCGUCUUACCAGAACGGGUUCGACGGUGAGGGACGAAAGCUGGGGGCACGAACCGGAUUAGAUACCCGGGUAGUCCCAGCCGUAAACGAUGCUCGCUAGGUGUCAGGCAUGGCGCGACCGUGUCUGGUGCCGCAGGGAAGCCGUGAAGCGAGCCACCUGGGAAGUACGGCCGCAAGGCUGAAACUUAAAGGAAUUGGCGGGGGAGCAC
rnacentral:rRNA from 1 species